CAGUCGCCACGGGAAUACAGAGGGUGCAAGCGUUAAUCGGAAUUACUGGGCGUAAAGCGCGCGUAGGUUGUUUGUUAAGUUGGAUGUGAAAGCCCCGGGCUCAACCUGGGAACUGCAUCCAAAACUGGCAAGCUAGAGUACGGUAGAUGGUUGUGGAAUUUCCUGUGUAGCGGUGAAAUGCGUAGAUAUAGGAAGGAACACCAGUGGCGAAGGCGACCACCUGGACUGAUACUGACACUGAGGUGCGAAAGCGUGGGGAGCAAACAGGAUUAGAUACCCCGGUAGUCCCUGUCUCUUAUAC
rnacentral:rRNA from 1 species